rnacentral:misc_RNA from 1 species
AUGGGUUAACGCCUCCGGGCACAAUCCCCACCCUUUGUAACCGCGGCCCGGAUUCGGCGCCUGGCGGGGAGCUCCCCUCUGUUCGCGGAGGGCCCCGCCUGCCGGAAUUAGCCAACCCUGCCUAGAAAACUGAAGUCUGAGAACAAGUUAAAUUGAACA